GAGUAAUGUCUGGGAAACUGCCUGAUGGAGGGGGAUAACUACUGGAAACGGUGGCUAAUACCGCAUAACGUCGCAAGACCAAAGAGGGGGACCUUCGGGCCUCUUGCCAUCAGAUGUGCCCAGAUGGGAUUAGCUUGUUGGUGAGGUAACGGCUCACCAAGGCGACGAUCCCUAGCUGGUCUGAGAGGAUGACCAGCCACACUGGAACUGAGACACGGUCCAGACUCCUACGGGAGGCAGCAGUGGGGAAUAUUGCACAAUGGGCGCAAGCCUGAUGCAGCCAUGCCGCGUGUAUGAAGAAGGCCUUCGGGUUGUAAAGUACUUUCAGCGGGGAGGAAGGUGUUGUGGUUAAUAACCGCAGCAAUUGACGUUACCCGCAGAAGAAGCACCGGCUAACUCCGUGCCAGCAGCCGCGGUAAUACGGAGGGUGCAAGCGUUAAUCGGAAUUACUGGGCGUAAAGCGCACGCAGGCGGUCUGUCAAGUCGGAUGUGAAAUCCCCGGGCUCAACCUGGGAACUGCAUUCGAAACUGGCAGGCUUGAGUCUUGUAGAGGGGGGUAGAAUUCCAGGUGUAGCGGUGAAAUGCGUAGAGAUCUGGAGGAAUACCGGUGGCGAAGGCGGCCCCCUGGACAAAGACUGACGCUCAGGUGCGAAAGCGUGGGGAGCAAACAGGAU
rnacentral:rRNA from 1 species